AGACCGUGAGGUUUAGCUAAUCUCUUAAAGCCGUUCUCAGUUCGGAUUGUAGGCUGCAACUCGCCUACAUGAAGUCGGAAUCGCUAGUAAUCGCGAAUCAGCAUGUCGCGGUGAAUACGUUCCCGGGCCUUGUACACACCGCCCGUCACACCAUGAGAGUUUGUAACACCCAAAGCCGGUGGGGUAACCGCAAGGAGCCAGCCGUCUAAGGUGGGACAGAUGAUUGGGGUGAAGUCGUAACAAGGUAGCCGUAGGAGAACCUGCGGCUGGAUCACCUCCUUUCUAAGG
rnacentral:rRNA from 1 species